GCCGAAUGGCGUAGUGGUUAGUGACCCUGACUGCUAUGCCGAAGGUCCUGGGUUCGAUUCCCGGCUGGGGCA
rnacentral:tRNA from 1 species